GAAGUUCGUCUGCAUUCUCCACCCUGCCGGUCUGCCACUCUGAUGCUGUUCUGAAGAGAGCGUGAUUGAAACAGAUUGUGGCUGAGUGACCGGCCUUUACAAUUUACGUUAACCAGUCGUGGGGAGAGGAGUAGUUUUACAAAGUAGAGUGAAAUUGAAUUAAUUGCCUAAAAAGUUCAUUGACGUUUGAAGGUGUGCCAACAUUGGGGCUCACCACCGCAUCCCGCGUGAAUUUGUCUACCCUUUUCAACAAGCAGUUGGUGACCAAACAGCAGUAAAGUUAGACGGUUGGCUGACUGCAAUUUCAUGAUGGAGAAUGCCACUAUGUCUUCAACAGUAUAUCUAACAGGGACUACAAAGUCAGAUCGGUGUGAAUGCCUAGUCGCCCCUAUGGCUGUCGAUGUGGAUCAAUUAUUAGAAAUAAACACUGUUGAUCAAUUACAGUGAAGAAGCGAAACAAUGAGACCUUUCAUCUCCAUGGGAAUUGAACUAACCACCGACCUUGUAAGUCUGUUCUAUGGAACACGAGCUGCGGACAUCGAGAAACUAAGUAUGUAGGUAGAGAACCCGUUGGCUUUUGUCAAACUUGCUGGUCUAGAAGGAAACGUACCUCACUUGGAACACAUCUUUGUCUACAACCUCCAGCAAUAACAUUUCAACUUGGAAAGACUCGACGGCAUGAGCGAACUGAGCGUUUGUCAUCUAAUCACGGAUAGCUGUGAUGUUGAUUUUUUAAAACCAAAACUUUGUCGUUGGUUGAUCCCUUAUUUACGUCGACUGGAUACCCUUACAGCCUGAUAGUAUCAAGGAGUUAUUACGAGGCUUACUUACGUAUCAGGCUAGCCCGAUUGUCGUCGACGCAAACUUUCCAAGCCCUGGAAUGCAUAUGCCUGCCAGAAGAACGACCAACUUGUAGUGGACAUGACAUUUUUCGAUUGCUAGCCUGAGCGACCACCUGGCUCCAAAGCAGAUUCCCUACUUACCCAUUUACACCAUCAGUUGGAUUAUCUCCAAUCUCAUUUAGAGGCAGCUAAUGUUUUAUUGUUGUCUACGGCCGAGUUGCACCAAAUUGGCAACGCCAACGCCACUCAUCUUCCACCAAAGAACGUUUGGCGUUUUCUGCUGUCUGCACUCUGCUGUUCAUUUGCAAAUUUUCUCACAGGACUUCGAAAGGUGUAAUGAGAAUUUGCAGUUCGUCGCGUCAAACUUUGAAGAAAAUUUAUUGAAAUUGUAGAUUUAAUUUAUAGAUCUAGAAAAGUGGGAAGGACAUUCCAUUACCAGCACGUGAUCGAUUCUGGUCGACGGUUCGCCAGAUCUCCGUGGAUUACAACAAGCAGGUGGUUGGUGUUUGUUGGAGCAGUCUCUGGUAAAGCAAUCUAAUGUGCUUGCUGUUCUCAGCUUUUCAUGGUGCUGACAUUUUGGCAUGGUUUCACUUGAUUUGUGUCUGCUCAGUGUUUGCGUGUAUUUUAUUGAUAAGUAUUUUUGGGUUGAUAUUCAGAGAUAACCAAAAAUGUUGAGAACAUAGAAGACCAUGUCCUUCCAAAGAAAUCUGUCAUUCUGUCCUCCAACCCACUAAAUGUGGUAUGGUAUCAUUUCAGAUUUGUUAAGUUAGCAUUCCCUUCUUGCAUCCUAAGAAAGGUUACCAUUUUAUUGUAACAUAGGCAUGUUUUAUUUUACCUAACUUCCGUUCUUGCCUCUUGGAAUGUGUUCAGGCAUGUUUAUUGUUCAUAUUGUUAGUGAUUUAUUUCUUACAUUCAUAGCAUUUUCCACUUCGGAAUGAAAGCAUGCAACCAAUUUUCAGCUCCAGACAGGUAUGCCCUCUGGGUAUGCCUUGCAUAAUGUAGCGCUUAUGUCCUCCGGCCGCCAGGUGGCGCGAGCGUCGCGUCAAAACUCAGACAUUUUCACAUUUUCCAGCCACCGACUGAAAAU
rnacentral:lncRNA from 1 species